rnacentral:rRNA from 1 species
AUUGAACGCUGGCGGCAUGCUUUACACAUGCAAGUCGAACGGUAGCAUGGGUGCUUGCACCUGAUGGCGAGUGGCGAACGGGUGAGUAAUGUAUCGGAACAUAUCCGCAAGUGGGGGAUAACGUAGCGAAAGUUACGCUAAUACCGCAUAUUCCCUGAGGGGGAAAGGAGGGGAUCCGCAAGGACCUUUCGCUUACGGAGUGGCCGAUAUCAGAUUAGCUAGUUGGUGAGGUAAAGGCUCACCAAGGCGACGAUCUGUAGCGGGUCUGAGAGGAUACUCGGCCACACUGGGAAUGAGACACGGCCCAGACUCCUACGGGAGGCAGCAGUGGGGAAUUUUGGACAAGGAGGGCAACCCUGAUCCAGCCAUGCCGCGCGAGUGAAGAAGGCCUUCGGGCUGUAAAGCUCUUUCAGCCGGAAAAAAAUCGCAUCACCUAGUACGUGGUGUGGAUGAUGGUACCGGAAGAAGAAGCACCGGCUAACUACGUGCCAGCCGCCGCCGUAAUAC